CAGUCGCCGCGGGAAUACGAAGGGUGCAAGCGUUAAUCGGAAUUACUGGGCGUAAAGCGUGCGUAGGCGGUGAGUUAAGUCUGCUGUGAAAUCCCCGGGCUCAACCCGGGAAUGGCAGUGGAUACUGGCUCGCUAGAGUGUGUCAGAGGAUGGUGGAAUUCCCGAUGUAGCGGUGAAAUGCGUAGAGAUCGGGAGGAACAUCAGUGGCGAAGGCGGCCAUCUGGGACAACACUGACGCUGAGGCACGAAAGCGUGGGGAGCAAACAGGAUUAGAUACCCCAGUAGUCCCUGUCUCUUAUAA
rnacentral:rRNA from 1 species